UUUUGGGUACAGCUCAGUGGUAGAGUGUUUGCCUAGCGUGCACAAGGCCCUGGGUUCGAUCCCCAGCACUGAAAA